rnacentral:lncRNA from 1 species
UUUAUUAUAAGUUGUAACACUUGGCUAGUUUUGUUUGUAUAUGUCUUAAAAUGUUUUCUUAUGAUAUUUAAGUGACAGUUAAAGAGGUAUCAAGGUAACUUGUGUAGAACUAUUGUUUGAUAUAUUGUCAUGUUUGUUGUGAAUAUUUUUUCUUACUGCACAGUAGAAAAAUAAAAGCAACUGGUCUUUAUUUUAAUGUAAUUCAGAUUGGGAAAAACAAAACAGAGCUAAGGGAACAAAAUGACUGCGGGAGCACUCUCCCAAGUCCAGUGCACUGAUCAUUUUAGUAUGUUUGUGCUUUGUACGGUUAUAUAUUUAAAACAAAAACAAAACAAAAAAAUACAAGAGUUCAUGCUCUUCCCUGGGUAAUAGAAACAGUUACUCGCUAUGCAUAAUCUAGUUGAUAGUUAAAUUUGCUAUUGCUUUUCUUGUCUUGUUAUAUAAAAUCUUUUCAAUACAAGUUUAGUCUUAAUGGUAAUAAAAUGUUAUGGUUAUUUAUAACUUGUGCUUAUUUUGUGCAUUUUUUCCCAUGCUGAACCCACUAACUGCAUGUAGACAGGACUGUUGUUUUCACACUGAAGAGGCAAACUUUGUAGUAGUCGUCGUAGUGGUAGACAGAUCAUGAAAACCAAGGCUGCAUCAUAGACUCCUCCUUUAAAUUUUUUUUCCUCUUUUUCAGUUUUGGAAAAAAAAAACACCAGAUUUCAGUUCAGAGAACACUUGUUCAACAUUCAGGGAAAACUUUUUACAUCACCUGCUAUGAAUGAACGCAGUUUGCUGGCAAAGUUUUGUUGCAUUUGCUAAGCAUUAGUGGGAAAGGCAUGCCAAAAUCUCUUCUCUAUAAUGUGUUCAAUCUGGGGGAAAAAAAGGAAAAAAAAAAACCUUUAGGACCAGGCAGUGUAUUCUUUAGUUGUAAAUGAAUGACUUCAUGUUAAUCUUGCUAGUUUAGAUGAUUUCUGAGGGAAAGUAUUGUAAAUGUUUUUUUCAUAAUCUUGUUGUGUUUGAAUUAUUUGUACUUUAUCUGUCCAGACAAUAAAUGAAAGUGUGUAGAAUGA